GCGCGCACACACCGGCGGGCAGGACGGGCCACCUCGCGAGGCCGAUCUGACCCCCGACCGACCCCGACCAGCUCUCCAAGACCCCCUUCUUUUCAAGUGUUCGGACUCGGUAGCGGGCUAAAAGGAAUAAUAGAUAAAGAGAGUGGAAGCAGAAAGAGCAAGACCGUGAGAAACAGUUUUUUUUGGGGAAACUCGUGAUACGCAAGAGGAAAAGUUGAGAAAAGGAAUUAAUAAAAAGACCUAGAAGAAGAAAAGAAAAAAAAGAAACAAGAAAAGAGUAAGAGUAAGAAGAA